rnacentral:rRNA from 1 species
GUGAGGAAUAUUGGUCAAUGGGCGGGAGCCUGAACCAGCCAAGUCGCGUGAAGGAAGAAGGAUCUAUGGUUCGUAAACUUCUUUUGCAGGGGAAUAAAGUGCGGGACGUGUCCUGUUUUGUAUGUACCCUGAGAAUAAGGAUCGGCUAACUCCGUGCCAGCAGCCGCGGUAAUACGGAGGAUCCGAGCGUUAUCCGGAUUUAUUGGGUUUAAAGGGUGCGUAGGUGGUUUGAUAAGUCAGCGGUGAAAGUUUGCAGCUUAACUAUAAAAAUGCCGUUGAAACUGUCGGACUUGAGUGUAAAUGAGGUAGGCGGAAUGCGUGGUGUAGCGGUGAAAUGCAUAGAUAUCACGCAGAACUCCGAUUGCGAAGGCAGCUUACUAAGCUACAACUGACACUGAAGCACGAAAGCGUGGGGAUCAAACAGGAUUAGAUACCCCAGUAGUCC